UACGUAGGGUGCAAGCGUUAAUCGGAAUUACUGGGCGUAAAGCGUGCGCAGGCGGUUUUGUAAGUCUGUCGUGAAAUCCCCGGGCUCAACCUGGGAAUUGCGAUGAAGACUGCAAGGCUAGAAUCUGGCAGAGGGGGGUAGAAUUCCACGUGUAGCAGUGAAAUGCGUAGAGAUGUGGAGGAACACCGAUGGCGAAGGCAGCCCCCUGGGUCAAGAUUGACGCUCAUGCACGAAAGCGUGGGGAGCAAACAGG
rnacentral:rRNA from 1 species